GUGGAAAGUGGCCCGAAACCCUUC
rnacentral:misc_RNA from 1 species